UACGUAGGGUGCAAGCGUUGUCCGGAAUUAUUGGGCGUAAAGAGCUCGUAGGCGGCUUGUUGCGUCAGCUGUGAAAACCCGCAGCUCAACUGUGGGCUUGCAGCUGAUACGGGCAGGCUUGAGUUCGGUAGGGGAGACUGGAAUUCCUGGUGUAGCGGUGAAAUGCGCAGAUAUCGGGAGGAACACCUAUGGCGAAGGCAGCUCGCUGGGACGUUACUGACGCUGAGACGCGAAAGCGUGGGGAGCAAACAGG
rnacentral:rRNA from 1 species